UACGUAGGGUGCAAGCGUUGUCCGGAAUUAUUGGGCGUAAAGAGCUUGUAGGCGGUUUGUCGCGUCUGCCGUGAAAAUCCGGGGCUCAACCCCGGACUUGCGGUGGGUACGGGCAGACUAGAGUGUGGUAGGGGAGACUGGAAUUCCUGGUGUAGCGGUGAAAUGCGCAGAUAUCAGGAGGAACACCGAUGGCGAAGGCAGGUCUCUGGGCCACUACUGACGCUGAGAAGCGAAAGCGUGGGGAGCGAACAGG
rnacentral:rRNA from 1 species